rnacentral:tRNA from 1 species
GGAGAGGUACCGAAGCGGUCAAACGGCUCCGACUCGAAAUCGGCUGGGGGUAUUACGCCCCACGUGGGUUCGAAUCCCACCCUCUCCGCCA